GACGAACGCUGGCGGCGUGCUUAACACAUGCAAGUCGAACGGAAAUGCCCUGCGUUUGUGUGGUGCUCGAGUGGCGAACGGGUGAGUAACACGUGAGUAACCUGCCCUUGACUUUGGGAUAACUUCAGGAAACUCGGGCUAAUACCCGAUAGUAGCUCCUGCUGCAUGGUGGGGGUUGGAAAGUUUCGGCGGUUGGGGAUGGACUCGCGGCUUAUCAGCUUGUUGCUGGGGUAGUGGCUUACCAAGGCUUUGACGGGUAGCCGGCCUGAGAGGGUGACCGGCCACAUUGGGACUGAGAUACGGCCCAGACUCCUACGGGAGGCAGCAGUGGGGAAUAUUGCACAAUGGGCGGAAGCCUGAUGCAGCAACGCCGCGUGCGGGAUGACGGCCUUCGGGUUGUAAACCGCUUUCGCCUGUGACGAAGCGUGAGUGACGGUAAUGGGUAAAGAAGCACCGGCUAACUACGUG
rnacentral:rRNA from 1 species